UACCAUGAUGCGCAACUAAAGCCUUGACCAAUGAGGAGUGUCUGACGCGAUACGCUCCAUUGCGGCAACUUGAUUCGUUAACGCCCACUCGAGUUCCCAGCGUUUUGCUGCAGUUUCACCUUAUCUGUUGGUCGCAUCGGACUCAAGGGCUGUAGUUAUUAUAUAAUCAGUGGCUAUUAUGGCUAAUAAAGGUGCUCAACAUGUAAAAAGUUAUUUUCCAGCGUGGCAUCUUUGGCUCAACAUAUUCACAAACAAGGCAGAGAUAUUAGUGUGGAGAAAAUUGUAGUGGAAGAUCAUUGCAGCCACUGUCCAUAUUUUACCAAAUGUGGUCAAAUACUUACAAUUGUUGCUGAAGAAAAGCCCUGAGUGAUCAAAUGUUAUCCUUCAGCUGUGAUGCAGUUAGCGUUAUUCCUCACACUCGAACAGAGUAUUCCAGGUUUACUAUACCCUCCAGUCUGUCGGGAAAUUAUUUGAUAGAUUCACAGCCAAAGAAAUGGAUAAAACGAAAGAUUUACUGGAUUCAAGUUCUAUCAUAUUGAAUGACGAUGAGGUCCAUAUAAUCCAAUACAAUGCUGGGUUUAUUUUACGAAAAAUGCAAAAACGAUGCUAAGACCCGGAAGACUGCAAAAGAAUCCAGUCAUUAUUUAAUCCCGAACCGGACUGUUUGAUAACUCUGACUCUAUGAUUGCAGUAAUGCAGGAAACAGAAUAUGGACGCCUAACCGUACCAUUGCCCAGUGUCCAAGCUGCUCAAAAUUGAAUUUAGAUUAAACUAUGCUCAUGAAGGUGUUACAGCCACAGUUUUUGAAAAUUUUAAUAUAGAAUCAUUUGCUGCUGGACAUCUUGGAAAAAUAAGGUGCCAUCAAACAGAAUUUAUCCCUACGAAAACUGCUUAAAAAAUAAAUGUAGAUGAAGAGCAUGAUCUCUUUUCACUUUAUUUUGCAAGGUAGUGCGUUUAGAUGUGAUUCCAGUUUUAUUUUUAAUACUUUAGCAGUAAUUAAACAAAGCAAUCUAUUUUUCAUAACAAAAUUUUCAUUGCAAUAUAGUAUAUUUUCAUGACAAUAGGCAAUGUAAGUUGCAUAAUAAAAAUACAACAUAUCUAGAACUGUUUGAGUUGUCCCAGCGACAGAUGAUUCCAGUUGCGUAUUCCUGGAAUGAAAAUUAUUUUCAAGCCAAAUCAUACGCUCACCAAUGCUAUGGAAUGGUCGGAGCACUUUUUUAGGCACUCCCGUAGUAUGUGUACCAAGAUAGCGCACAACCUAAUAACCCCAACCUGGUACACAUAUUACGGGAGCACCCUUUUUUAUAUCCAAAAUUUAGCCAAGUAUUCAUAAUAUCAAACCAUUUAUCCAUAGACAAUGCUGACCAAGAGCUCUGGCCCACCUCUCUGCUGCAUCAAUCUUGCAGCAGUCUUAGAUAGCACCUGGGCUGCAUAUUUGACACACACUUUUAGGUAGCUUUGUAAGCACAAGUGGGAUUUCGUCAAUUUGCAGGAGCGGAACUUUUCGGAUGAAAAAGAAGGGUACUGCACGAAAAUGGUCAUCUUUUUUAAUAGGCGAAUUCCACCAGCGUGACUCGCAAACACAUUAUUGCGUACUGUUUUGAGUAAAUGAAAUGAUCAGGACCAUUGAUACAUGUAUAUGGGAAAGUUAACCUCAAAUUAUUUAACUCAUGGAACAUUUUACGGUUUGCACUAAGUCCAUCUGUAAUGAGCCCCAAACCCACUUCUCCAACACUUUCCCAGAAAAUGCUGGCGAGAUGGUCUGAGCGGAUACCGUCAAGGGCUUUGAAAACUUCCCAAUCAAACCAUGUGCAUAAACUUGCAGUGCAUUGUGUGCAGGAACUUUUUCUCGACUCUCCCAAGUCAACAAAGC